GGUAUGCACUGGCUUCGCUGAUUCCUCCUUUCUGAAGAACUGUAAUGCCAUUAAUUUGGUGUUGCAGGGAAACAGGACUGUUACUUUGAAAAAAUUAGAGUGUUUAAAGCAGGCUAACGCUUGAAUACAUUAGCAUGGAAUAAUGAAAUAGGACGUUUGAUCCUAUUUUGUUGGUUUCUAGGACUGACGUAAUGAUUAAUAGGGAUAGUUGGGGGCAUUAGUAUUCAAUUGUCAGAGGUGAAAUUCUUGGAUUUAUUGAAGACUGACUACUGCGAAAGCAUUUGCCAAGGAUGUUUUCAUUAAUCAAGAACGAAAGUUAGGGGAUCGAAGACGAUCAGAUACCGUCGUAGUCUUAACCAUAAACUAUGCCGACUAGGGAUCGGAUGAUGUUAAUUUUUUAAUGACUCAUUCGGCGCCUUACG
rnacentral:rRNA from 1 species